CACCACCGUUCAUCCUUCUAUCUACCUCUUAAACCCCUAAACAAGCAGUUGAUCGGUCCAUCAUUUUUUAUAUGCACUUGCAAUCGCUCUUUAGGUGAAGAUUUAUCAUCCAAACGCACAAAAGAUCUUCAUCAUCAUCUUCUACUUCCAAAUUCCCAAAUCUUCCAUCUAGGGUUCCGAUUGAGACUUCCAGAGGUAUGUUUUUGGAUUUGAUAAUGUUUUUGCUUUAUCCAUUGUUCUUUGAUUGCCUGAUUGUUGAACGUUGACAACAUCGUUUCCUGUUUCCCAAUUGGGUUUUUUCAAACAAGAACAAUACCUCUCCUCUGCGAUUCAGGCAAGGAUUAAAUCAUUUUUUUGACAUAUGUGCUUUAUGUCAACCCUUCUACAAGUAAUUCUCAUAUGGUAGCACAUGAUGUUUUUUAGUCCGGUAACUCAGAGACAUUUCCGGUGUACCGAGCACUAGAAGAAGGUUAUCAAGAGAUCAAAGGUUUCAUGGUGGAUUGUAUGGGCGAAGUCGACAAAGACGUUUUCUGGCACCAGGGUUACAAGUCGUGAUUUUGAGAUGCAGAAGCAUUUGCGAGGCGUGCCAUGGUUCAAUUGGUUUUCUUUUAAAACUCAACAAAAUUCAGAAACGAGUAUCAAUAGAGAGGUGCGCAGAGCUUAAAUUAGUUGCUGCAAGCUAUGGUUUAAAGGAAGCUUGGAUAUCUUAUUGGGGGAAAGCCAACCACUAAAAUCGGCUAUGUGGUUACGGGUGGCAUUAUAUUUGGCACAAGCAUUAGAGUACUGCUGCAGCAAAGGGCGGUCACUGUACCAUGAUCUUAACGCGUAUAGAAUUUUGUUUGAUCAGGGAUGGAGCUCAACUUGCUUCAUGGUUUUACACAAUCAUUGGCAUAGAGGAAGAGGCCUUAUUUGUAUCUGAUGGUGCACAGUUCCACAUUUCUUGCCUUCAGCCUGCUAUUAGGGGGCACGGUGUGAGAGUGGGAGUAGGCGAGACGUGAUGGAGAGGUGCUGAUGUGGGAUGGAAUGGGGUCAGAGCAGGAUCUCCAUCCCGAUUGGGGUCAAACCGAUCGAAUUCUGGCUCUGCUAUGCUAACUCUGAUGGCUACAUGCACCUUGGCAGUGCAGAUGUUAUUGGAUCGACAGAUCACAUGCACAGCUUUGCAAUGUGGAGAAGGUUGCUGCAGUAUUCGAAUAGACAAUGCAAUCUUCAACUAUUCUCUUGGAUGGUUUUGAGCUAUUUCGAUCAUUCUGAAAUUUUGGUGUCAUAUUCCUCAAUAACGAUAUCAUAAUAGUACUGUAGGAGUAAGGUAGACUCCAUUCCAUAAUAUGGGAGUUUAUUUGUACACCACCAAAAAGGAUUUAUCACCACUAAUACUUUCCAAUUAUACAUUUUUAUCCCCUCA